UACGAGGGGGGCAAGCGUUGUUCGGAAUUAUUGGGCGUAAAGGGCGCGUAGGCGGUGCGGUAAGUCUGAUGUGAAAUCUCCGGGCUCAACUCGGAGUCUGCAUCAGAAACUGCCGUGCUCGAGUGUGGGAGAGGUGAGUGGAAUUCCCGGUGUAGCGGUGAAAUGCGUAGAUAUCAGGAGGAACACCGAUGGCGAAGGCAGGUCUCUGGGCCACUACUGACGCUGAGAAGCGGAAGCAUGGGGAGCGAACAGG
rnacentral:rRNA from 1 species